AAAGCCACAGCCAGGAGGAGGUUGGCUUUCCAAGCUGCGAGGCAGAAGCAGCCAGACUCCGAUGAGGAUGAAGAGGCUAUGAAGAGGGGCCUGGCGGAGAUUGUGGCCAACAUAAGCGAGGCCGACACCUCCGAGGAGGACAGCAGCGAGGACGAGGGUUCUGCAGCUAAGCUGCCCACCAUGUCCUCCUUCGAGAAGGUCCUGGGACCCAUUUUUGGAGGCCGCUCAAAGGCCUCCA